rnacentral:piRNA from 1 species
UAGCACAAUUGAAAUCCCCCCAUUUC